rnacentral:lncRNA from 1 species
GACAACUACAAGAUUUCAUAAAACAAAGUUUUUUUUAAAUUUCUUAGGGAAAUAUGUCUAAAUUUAAGAUGCUAUAAUUAGCAUUCUAACAGCAACAAAAGUUGAACAUCAGAAUCAGAGGAUGUCUAACCUAAACAGAUAUCCCAAAACAUUCUUUGUCAGAGAUACUUGUCAAGAAAACACAGAAUUUAUUCUACUUUCUAACUCUUGGAAUUGACUUGCCCGGCGUCUUCAUGCGCUUCAAUCCUCUCUUCUACUCCCUCUUCAGCCUCUGAACUCGGCUGUUUCUCGGAGCACAGACUGUUUAUCUGACACAAACUGUUUGGAAAGUGCUCCCUUGAUCCAAAUAGCUUGCUGCGCUUCUGUGUUUCACUUUCAAUGUCAUCUUGCACCAAGCAUCAGCGAAACUUACCUGAAAUAAUCUCUGCCCGUUUCUGUAUACACAAAAUAAUGCACAGUCACUGUAUCAAUUUUAUGUAGUUAUCACCAAUUUUUCCUCUAGAAUCUAAGCUGUGUAUGGUUUGAUUGUACCUAUCUUACUCAUUGGAGCCCAUAAACUAAAUCUGUGAUAUUCCAGGUAGAAGGUGCACAAUAAACAUUUUUGAGUAUUGAACAAAGCAAUGAAUCUUUCGAAUGUUACAGGGUAUUCACCCUGAUGCAAAUACCCGUGAUAUUUUUUCUGAAUAUAAG